GCCACCCUCCCCCGACAAAACAAACAAAAUCACCAUAGCCAUUAUUCAUGAUCUUCAAGUUUUGUUCUUGGUUGAAUUAAUCAGGUGAAGGAGCAGUCGGCCCAAGUAAGUUGGAUAACAACAAAGAACGGAGCCGGUGAUCAUCGAGUUUCUUUUAAGCUCAUUCGAGGUGAGAUGAUUGAAGAUCGUUGUGGAUAUUUCUUUUGCUUCUUCGUCAGCUCCAAAUUCUUAUUUGGUCAUCGAUAACCACCUUUUGUUAUGGAUUAUAUCUUUUGUAGUUAUGGCAUGUUGGGAGUAAAACUUAUGGAGUAUAACUUUUGCUAUGUUUGUAAAGAAAAAGUAUGUGAAUAUGCUUUUAUA